CAAGGGUGGCACCAUCCUGAGCCCAGUGAGGCGGCAGGCAGCUUGCUUCCCUUUCUGCCAUGCAAGGACAGCGAGAAGGGGCAUCUGUGACCCACCAGAGGUCGCCAGACCCCAAGGCUGCCUGUGUCCUGACCGUGGCCUCCCAGCCCCUGGGAGGUGAGAAAUCAGUCUUCGGAUCCUCGGCCACCAGUCUAUGGGGUGUUCCCAGAAGGGCUCUGACUUAAAACUGUGGCUGCUUUCAUGGAUACAAGAUAAAUCCACGCAGCAUGCGGUCUCUUGAGAUUGACGUUUUUCGCCAACCCUGAGGUCCCUAGGACCUGCCUGAGCAGCUGUAGUGAUGGAGAAUGAUGAGUAGAUUUCAGAGCUCUCAGUUCAGCACGGAUCAAGACAAGCA